CCUACGGGAGGCAGCAGUGGGGAAUAUUGCACAAUGGGGGAAACCCUGAUGCAGCGACGCCGCGUGAGUGAAGAAGUACUUCGUUAUGUAAAGCUCUAUCAGCAGGGAAGAAAAUGACGGUACCUGAGUAAGAAGCCCUGGCCAACUACGUGCCAGCAGCCGCGGUAAUACGCAGGGGGCAAGCGUUAUCCGGAUUUACUGGGUGUAAAGGGAGCGUAGACGGCAGUGCAAGACUGGAGUGAAAGGCGGGGGCUCAACCCCCGGACUGCUCUGGAAACUGUACGGCUGGAGUGCAGGAGAGGUAAGUGGAAUUCCUGGUGUAGCGGUGAAAUGCGUAGAUAUCAGGAGGAACACCAGUGGCGAAGGCGGCUUACUGGACUGUAACUGACGUUGAGGCUCGAAAGCGUGGGUAGCAAACAGGAUUAGAUACCCGAGUAGUC
rnacentral:rRNA from 1 species